CUGUAGAUCAGAUUCCCAAAACAAAACCGAUCAGCACUUUUAGCAAAUGUGUUCUACCAAAUGAGAAGAAGGCACAAAAAGAAUUUGAGGCCAGUUCAAAUCCAGGAAGAAGUUACAGCAUGGAAAGACUGAAAAAACUUGGAGUUGGAACUGUUGAUGGUCUUUUUUUUCAUGGACAUGUGGACAUGCAGGAUGCAUAACAGCGAGGGGAUUCUGUCCCCGGAUGAGAAAACAGCCGUCCUCAAAUCCCCUUCAUUCUCAAUCGAUGGCUAGUACCGGCACUAAGCAGAGCGGCGAAGUAAAGGCAGCAGAGCAGCAGCCGACCAACUUCCUGUGCCGAUGCGUUUUGAGCCCGCAACCCGGAAGUGCUAUGAUCCUCCAAUGGGACACCCUUUACCACGGGAAGGUGAAACAAAAUCACCCAGCCGAGUUCCCACUCUUGGGGGUUCUUGACGAACUUCCCCAAAAGACGGCCAGACGUCUGCCACAAACAUGAGCUGCAGCCCCUGUUCAAGCCCACAACACUGCUGCUUUUAAACGGCAUUUAAACGGUUUCUGAAUGGUGAACACCUGAUGGAUAAAUUGGUGCCCAAACCCCAAUUUUGUCUCAAUUUGGUCUUGUCCUAUCACACAUAGUUUUCUAGAACAGGACUGAAUAAUCACUCAUUGCAUCACACCAAGAGGGAAAACAAGAUAUGGAAGAAAAACUGUUCAGUUUCCCUUAACAUUCCCACACUUCCUUAACAUAAUUUUGAAAACAAUAUGUGUAAUCUAAGAGCAGAUGUACAUUCUCAGUUACACACACACACACACACACACACACACACACAUGAAGUGAAAGCUCCUAUGCCAAACCCCAGUGGUGUAGAUAUAGUAUUUCAAAGUGGUUGCAGAUUUAGGAAGGAACGUCAAUCUAAUAAUAAUCAAUUUCUACACAUUUCCACUCUCUGCCUCUUAAGCUGUCAGGAAGUUCCAUUCGCAUCACAGCAGGAGGGGUAACUAAAGAAUAAAAACUGAAACUCCACCAUUAAUCACUGAGCCACAUAUUUCUUCAAGGCAUUUGAUACUGUCAGUGAAUGUUGCCUUAGCACAGCACCUUCAAAUACAAUGAUUCAAUACAGGCAUCAGGGUCGAUAUACUGUAAGGACUGCCGCUGCCCUGACAACAGGGGAUCAUACAGCUACUACAAUGCUCCAUGUUCUUCCAUGGUCUUCACCCACAACCAAACAUCAAAGCCACAAAGCACAGAAGCCUUUCAGAAAGGUGAAAAAAAGAUCUGUGGAUCUCUAUCUCCAUCUCCCCUGCCUGUGCACAAAGAACUAGAUUUGUCCAGUCAUUCUUUUCUAUUAUCCUCUCCUCUUGGCACACAAGUAAACACCCAAUGACAACAACUUGACCCAAUCAAUUCUGUCUAAGGCUGUGGCAUCCUUCAGGCAUGUCGGCUAUCUGAGUGUGUGUGUGUGUGUGUGUGUGUGAGUGAGAGAGAAAAAGACAAAGCCAAUUAUAAAGCACACCCAAGUGAGCAACGAAAGUUCCA